AAAAAAAAAUUAUCCCUCAAAAGUCGAAAACAAUAACAUCAAAAUAGAAAGACUAUAAAAUCUGAAUCUUCUUUCCAUCUCGGUCUCAAACUCAAGUUCGCCACCGCCAUUGAAAUCCAACACCAAUACCUCAAUCGAGAUUUGUGAUUUUAUUAUAAGGAAAAGCUUCACAAAUCUUAAGCAAAUCAUGGAAUCAAACAUGAAUAAUGAACACGAAGAAGGUAAAAUCGUCAUAUACGGGUACAAUGAAGACCCAGAACAUCCGGAAGAAACAGAAAGGGUUCAAUCAACAAAACAUUCAAAAUACGUAACCAAACGUUAUAAAUGUGUGUGGAGAAAAAAUGAAAGAUGGAUAGCCCGGAUUCGAAAUCCUGUUACCAAUUCACAAGUAAAUUUGGGAAAUUUUGACUCCCGUGAAGCCGCUCUCUUGGCUUAUUUCUCUAGAAAGCGUUCGUACGAUAGUCAAAUCAGGUCAAUAAAAAUUUCAAAUUCUGUUAUGAUUGAUUUUCAUGGUUUUUUGUUGGGUGAUUUCAGCCGAAUAGAUGAAGAUCUUUGGAUCCGCUAAUAAGCAAUAAUUCAACUAGGUAAACGUUUAUAUUUUAUGUCUAUUUUAUAUGAAGUAAGCAAUUGAAAAA